rnacentral:misc_RNA from 1 species
AUUGCACUACAAGUUUGCAAUGGCAUGCAUGCCUAAAAUUUUGAAGUUAUGGUGGCCAUGCAUUUUACAAUUUUGAAGUAUGUAAUAGAUGAUUCGAAGGGAAUAAUAUUUUCCAUUUAUCAACUUGAGCACAGAACAUGUCUUUUAUAUUGAAAGAUUUUAUACAAUUUCUAUCAUGAUAAGGAUCUUGUUAUGGAUCUGUGUGUCUUGUUAUGGAUCUAUGAGUAGAGGGUGUAAGUUGGACUUAAGGCUAAGUGUUUUGUUCAUUUCAUUCUUUCUUCAUACUAUGCGGUAAGCUUUUGUACUUUUGGAAAUUUUUUAGAGGAAUUUUGUAAAUAAGAAAAUGAAUCUUG